UACGGAGGGGGCUAGCGUUGUUCGGAAUUACUGGGCGUAAAGCGCGCGUAGGCGGCUUUGUAAGUUAGAGGUGAAAGCCCUGAGCUCAACUCCGGAAUUGCCUUUAAGACUGCAUCGCUAGAAUCAUGGAGAGGUUAGUGGAAUUCCGAGUGUAGAGGUGAAAUUCGUAGAUAUUCGGAAGAACACCAGUGGCGAAGGCGACUAGCUGGACAUGUAUUGACGCUGAGGUGCGAAAGCGUGGGGAGCAAACAGG
rnacentral:rRNA from 1 species